CCCCAAGCAGGUCUAUCAUGCAGUCGACGACUCUGGUAUUGAUUGGUGCUUGCAUCAUGAUUUACAUUUGAGUGAGUGGCGAACUGGUGAGUAACACGUGGGAAACCUGCCCAGAAGCGGGGGAUAACACCUGGAAACAGAUGCUAAUACCGCAUAACAACUUGGACCGCAUGGUCCGAGUUUGAAAGAUGGCUUCGGCUAUCACUUUUGGAUGGUCCCGCGGCGUAUUAGCUAGAUGGUGGGGUAACGGCUCACCAUGGCAAUGAUACGUAGCCGACCUGAGAGGGUAAUCGGCCACAUUGGGACUGAGACACGGCCCAAACUCCUACGGGAGGCAGCAGUAGGGAAUCUUCCACAAUGGACGAAAGUCUGAUGGAGCAACGCCGCGUGAGUGAAGAAGGGUUUCGGCUCGUAAAACUCUGUUGUUAAAGAAGAACAUAUCUGAGAGUAACUGUUCAGGUAUUGACGGUAUUUAACCAGAAAGCCACGGCUAACUACGUGCCAGCAGCCGCGGUAAUACGUAGGUGGCAAGCGUUGUCCGGAUUUAUUGGGCGUAAAGCGAGCGCAGGCGGUUUUUUAAGUCUGAUGUGAAAGCCUUCGGCUCAACCGAAGAAGUGCAUCGGAAACUGGGAAACUUGAGUGCAGAAGAGGACAGUGGAACUCCAUGUGUAGCGGUGAAAUGCGUAGAUAUAUGGAAGAACACCAGUGGCGAAGGCGGCUGUCUGGUCUGUAACUGACGCUGAGGCUCGAAAGUAUGGGUAGCAAACAGGAUUAGAUACCCUGGUAGUCCAUACCGUAAACGAUGAAUGCUAAGUGUUGGAGGGUUUCCGCCCUUCAGUGCUGCAGCUAACGCAUUAAGCAUUCCGCCUGGGGAGUACGGCCGCAAGGCUGAAACUCAAAGGAAUUGACGGGGGCCCGCACAAGCGGUGGAGCAUGUGGUUUAAUUCGAAGCUACGCGAAGAACCUUACCAGGUCUUGACAUACUAUGCAAAUCUAAGAGAUUAGACGUUUCCCUUCGGGGACAUGGGAUACAGGUGGGUGCAUGAUUGUCGUCAGCUCGUGUCGUGAGAUGUUGGGUUAAGUCCCGCAACGAGGCGCAACCCCUUAUUUAUCAGUUUGCCAGGCAUUUAAGGUGGGCACUCUGGUGGAGACUGCCCGAUGACCAACGCAGCAGGUGGGGGAUGAACGGUUCCUAAUCCAAUUCAAUGGCCCCCCCUAG
rnacentral:rRNA from 1 species